UACGUAGGUGGCAAGCGUUGUCCGGAUUUACUGGGCGUAAAGAGCGCGCAGGCGGUCGUUCAAGUCGCGUGUGAAAGCCCCCGGCUCAACUGGGGAGGGUCACGCGAUACUGAUCGACUCGAAGGCAGGAGAGGGUAGUGGAAUUCCCGGUGUAGUGGCGAAAUGCGUAGAUAUCGGGAGGAACACCAGUGGCGAAGGCGACUACCUGGCCUGUUCUUGACGCUGAGGCGCGAAAGCUAGGGGAGCAAACGGG
rnacentral:rRNA from 1 species